GACGAACGCUGGCGGCGUGCCUAACACAUGCAAGUCGAACGAGUGGCGAACGGGAGAGUAUUACGUGAGUAACCUGCCCUAACUGCGGGAUAAGCCUGGGAAACUGGGACUAAUAUUGCAUAGUUGGGGAUGGGCUCGUGGCCUAUCAGCUUGUGGGGGGGGGGAUGGCCUACCAAGGCGGUGACGGGUAGCCGGCCUGAGAGGGUGGUCGGGCACAUUGGGACGGAGAGACGGCCCAGACGCCUACGGGAGGCAGCAGGGGGGAGUAUUGCACAAUGGGCGCAAGCCUGAUGCAGCGAAGCCGAGUGGGGGAUGGAGGCUUUCGGGUUGUAAGCCUCUUUCGGUAAAGAACGGGUAUGUACAGAGGAAGCGCCGGCUAACUACGUGCCAGCAGCCGCGGUAAUAC
rnacentral:rRNA from 1 species